AAAGAUGGUUCUGCUAUCACUCUUGGAUGGACCUGCGGUGCAUUAGCUAGUUGGUAAGGUAACGGCUUACCAAGGCAAUGAUGCAUAGCCGAGUUGAGAGACUGAUCGGCCACAUUGGGACUGAGACACGGCCCAAACUCCUACGGGAGGCAGCAGUAGGGAAUCUUCCACAAUGGACGAAAGUCUGAUGGAGCAACGCCGCGUGAGUGAAGAAGGGUUUCGGCUCGUAAAGCUCUGUUGGUAGUGAAGAAAGAUAGAGGUAGUAACUGGCCUUUAUUUGACGGUAAUUACUUAGAAAGUCACGGCUAACUACGUGCCAGCAGCCGCGGUAAUACGUAGGUGGCAAGCGUUGUCCGGAUUUAUUGGGCGUAAAGCGAGUGCAGGCGGUUCAAUAAGUCUGAUGUGAAAGCCUUCGGCUCAACCGGAGAAUUGCAUCAGAAACUGUUGAACUUGAGUGCAGAAGAGGAGAGUGGAACUCCAUGUGUAGCGGUGGAAUGCGUAGAUAUAUGGAAGAACACCAGUGGCGAAGGCGGCUCUCUGGUCUGCAACUGACGCUGAGGCUCGAAAGCAUGGGUAGCGAACAGGAUUAGAUACCCUGGUAGUCCAUGCCGUAAACGAUGAGUGCUAAGUGUUGGGAGGUUUCCGCCUCUCAGUGCUGCAGCUAACGC
rnacentral:rRNA from 1 species